rnacentral:rRNA from 1 species
GACGAACGCUGGCGGCGUGCUUAACACAUGCAAGUCGAACGGAAAGGCCCUGCUUUUGUGGGGUGCUCGAGUGGCGAACGGGUGUGUAACACGUGAGUAACCUGCCCUUGACUUUGGGAUAACUUCAGGAAACUGUGGCUAAUACCGGAUAGGAGCUCCUGCUGCAUGGUGGGGGUUGGAAAGUUUCGGCGGUUGGGGAUGGACUCGCGGCUUAUCAGCUUGUUGGUGGGGUAGUGGCUUACCAAGGCUUUGACGGGUAGCCGGCCUGAGAGGGUGACCGGCCACAUUGGGACUGAGAUACGGCCCAGACUCCUACGGGAGGCAGCAGUGGGGAAUAUUGCACAAUGGGCGGAAGCCUGAUGCAGCAACGCCGCGUGCGGGAUGACGGCCUUCGGGUUGUAAACCGCUUUCGCCUGUGACGAAGCGUGAGUGACGGUAAUGGGUAAAGAAGCACCGGCUAACUACGUG